UACAGAGGGGGCAAGCGUUGUUCGGAAUUACUGGGCGUAAAGGGCGCGUAGGCGGCCUGCUAAGUCGAACGUGAAAUCCCUGGGCUCAACCCGGGAACUGCGUCCGAUACUGGUUGGCUUGAAUCCGGGAGAGGGACGUGGAAUUCCAGGUGUAGCGGUGAGAUGCGUAGAUAUCUGGAGGAACACCGGUGGCGAAGGCGACGUCCUGGACCGGCAUUGACGCUGAGUGAGCGAAAGCCAGGGGAGCAAACGGG
rnacentral:rRNA from 1 species